rnacentral:ncRNA from 1 species
UGAAAUUCCUGUACCACCUCCUCACCGUUUGAGCAAUGGGGGGACGCAGAAGGAUAGGGUAAGCGCGCUGUUGGAUUAGCGCGUCCAAGCAGGUAGGCUGACAACGAGGCAAAUCCCGUUGUCAUAAAAGCUGAGCUGUGACGGCGAGGGAACUAUAGUACCGAAGUUCCUGAUUCCACACUGCCAAGAAAAGCCUCUAGCGAGGUGUGAGGUGCCCGUACCGCAAACCGACACAGGUAGGCGAGGAGAGAAUCCUAAGGUGAGCGAGAGAACUCUCGUUAAGGAACUCGGCAAAAUGACCCCGUAACUUCGGGAGAAGGGGUGCUUUUUAGGGUGAAUAGCCCGGAAAAGCCGCAGUGAAUAGGCCCAGGCGACUGUUUAGCAAAAACACAGGUCUCUGCGAAGCCGCAAGGCGAAGUAUAGGGGCUGACGCCUGCCCGGUGCUGGAAGGUUAAGGGGAGAGGUUAGCUGCUGAGCGAAGCUUUGAACUGAAGCCCCAGUAAACGGCGGCCGUAACUAUAACGGUCCUAAGGUAGCGAAAUUCCUUGUCGGGUAAGUUCCGACCCGCACGAAAGGCGUAACGAUCUGGGCACUGUCUCAACGAGAGACUCGGUGAAAUUAUAGUACCUGUGAAGAUGCAGGUUACCCGCGACAGGACGGAAAGACCCCGUGGAGCUUUACUGUAGCCUGAUAUUGAAUUUUGGUACAGCUUGUACAGGAUAGGUAGGAGCCUGAGAAGCCGGAGCGCCAGCUUCGGUGGAGGCGUCGGUGGGAUACUACCCUGGCUGUAUUGAAAUUCUAACCCGCGGCCCUUAUCGGGCCGGGAGACAGUGUCAGGUGGGCAGUUUGACUGGGGCGGUCGCCUCCUAAAAUGUAACGGAGGCGCCCAAAGGUUCCCUCAGAAUGGU